AUCGCCCUUUUCUAGAUGCCAUUUAUUAUAAAUAAAGGUAUUCUAUUCCAUUUCACUCAACUUGUCUGACAACACUGCUCUGCUAUGCUGAACGCGCACGCGUGUGUUCAACGUCAGCCAUAUUCUUGUUCUUUGCUCAGCCUGUCAGCCAUGCCAUGAGCCAAAGCGUCGACGCCAUCGCAUUACUUUCCCGCUUGAAGUAGCGUGAGCCUGCGUGAACCGUGAAUGUGGAAUUCUUGUAGUCACAGUGAUGGAUUUGAGUGAGUUUCUACAGAGCUGUGGAAUUGGUCAUCUAACUGAUCAUUUCAGAGGAUAUUUUUUCAUUCCGUAUUAUAAACGCUCCUGGUAGAAUGAAAAACUUCGUUGCAUAGAACAAAAUAUCGACUCGUUGGAUUUAUUGUCUGACCUGACACCAGAAUUGAUAAAGGACUUAGUUGUGAACGUUGGCGAUCAUCUCAAGUUUUUGAGAGGUUUGAAA